GGGAAUGUGGUUUAGUGGUAGAGUUCAUGCCUAGCACGCAUGAAGCCCUGGGUUUGAUUCCUCAGUACCA
rnacentral:tRNA from 1 species